CCUCUCAAACGCCUGACGCCCGCCCCUCGCGAAGCACGUGCGCCUGACGUUAUUUCCUGUUAUUCUCUUAACUCGCCCCUCCCACCGCAAAGGGUUCGCUAUGGAACGGGUUUUGGGGUGUGCCUCCUUCCUCCUCUCGGUCAGGAGAGGCUCAGUAACUGACAAGGGAUGAAAAAAACCUAUUGGGACUUCCUUGGUGGCACAGUGGUUAAGAAUUCGCCUGCUAAUGCAGGGGACACGGGUUCGAGCCCUGGUCCGGGAAGAUCCCACAUGCCGCGGAGCAGCUAAGCCCAUGGGCCACAACUACUGAGCCUGUGCUCUAGAGCCCGCGAGCCACAACCGCUGAAGCCCGGGGUGCCUAGAGCCUGUGCUCCGCAGCAAGAAGAGCCACUGCAACGUAGAGUAGCCCCUGCUUGCUGAUAGAGAAAGCCUGCGUGCAGCAAUGAAGACUGAACACAGCCAAAAGUAAAUAAAAUAAAUAAAUUUAUUAAAAAGAAAA